AUGGAUGAAAGCUAUAACACCAUACACAGACAUACAUACACGUACGUGUGUGUAUGUGUGUAUGUGUAUUCUCUCUAUACAUAUAUAUCUGUGUGUGGGUCUCUGUAUGUGUGUCUAUGUGAUUGCAUUUCCUUCUUUCUGUUUUUGAGCUUUCUCAAAUGUUUUGCAGUGAGUUGGUAUUACAAAUAUAAUCAGGGAAAAGAAGCUAUUUUAAAAAAUCGGUCAUUGGGCAGGACGUUCCAAAGGGCAGAUGAAUGUAACUUCCAGGAUGAAGUAACCGGAUGUCUGUCAACUCAGAAAACAAGUGGCCAGAAGGAAGACAGAACCACAAACCCAGGAAUCUGGAAACCUCAUAGCUGGUGUUGUGCAGAACCACUAUCAACUCCAGUGGGGAUGGCGGCAGGUUCAAGAGGCUAAAGACGAGACCCAGAGCCAGCAGGUGAGGCAUGGGCUGGGGGCUUACAUAUAGGGGAGAGAGUCCAGUGGUGGUGGACUGGG
rnacentral:lncRNA from 1 species